GCUGGGUGUGGUGGCGCACAUCUGUAAUCCCAGCUACUCUGGGGGCUGAGGCAGGAGAAUUGCUUGAACCCUGGAGGCAGAGGUUGCAGUGAGCCGAGAUCAUAGCACUGCACUCUAGCCUGGGUGACAGAGUGAGAUUCUGUCUCAA
rfam:Homo sapiens chromosome 18, GRCh38 reference primary assembly.